GGUGCUUGCAUCAUGAUUUACAUUUGAGUGAGUGGCGAACUGGUGAGUAACACGUGGGAAACCUGCCCAGAAGCGGGGGAUAACACCUGGAAACAGAUGCUAAUACCGCAUAACAACUUGGACCGCAUGGUCCGAGUUUGAAAGAUGGCUUCGGCUAUCACUUUUGGAUGGUCCCGCGGCGUAUUAGCUAGAUGGUGGGGUAACGGCUCACCAUGGCAAUGAUACGUAGCCGACCUGAGAGGGUAAUCGGCCACAUUGGGACUGAGACACGGCCCAAACUCCUACGGGAGGCAGCAGUAGGGAAUCUUCCACAAUGGACGAAAGUCUGAUGGAGCAACGCCGCGUGAGUGAAGAAGGGUUUCGGCUCGUAAAACUCUGUUGUUAAAGAAGAACAUAUCUGAGAGUAACUGUUCAGGUAUUGACGGUAUUUAACCAGAAAGCCACGGCUAACUACGUGCCAGCAGCCGCGGUAAUACGUAGGUGGCAAGCGUUGUCCGGAUUUAUUGGGCGUAAAGCGAGCGCAGGCGGUUUUUUAAGUCUGAUGUGAAAGCCUUCGGCUCAACCGAAGAAGUGCAUCGGAAACUGGGAAACUUGAGUGCAGAAGAGGACAGUGGAACUCCAUGUGUAGCGGUGAAAUGCGUAGAUAUAUGGAAGAACACCAGUGGCGAAGGCGGCUGUCUGGUCUGUAACUGACGCUGAGGCUCGAAAGUAUGGGUAGCAAACAGGAUUAGAUACCCUGGUAGUCCAUACCGUAAACGAUGAAUGCUAAGUGUUGGAAGGGUUUCCGCCCUUCAGUGCUGCAGCUAACGCAUUAAGCAUUCCGCCUGGGGAGUACGGCCGCAAGGCUGAAACUCAAAGGAAUUGACGGGGGGCCCGCACAAACGGGUGGAGCAUGU
rnacentral:rRNA from 1 species